AAAGCCUAAACCGUCCAACCAAGGAAGUGGCGUGUAUUACAAUUUACAAGUCACGAUCUUAUCAUGAAGAGAAGUCCAACCCCUUCUCAUCAAUGGGAUACACGUGUCAGCAGAUCCCUGACCACACAAAGAGGCUGAACUGUGGCCAGCUAAUGACAUCCGUCGAUAUCUAGCGUUCCAGCAAAAAGCAAGGCACCGACUCUCCUUCCCUUGGUUGCAUAUUAGCCGUCGAUCUUUCCAGGAAUCCUAAAUCUCAACCGCUUAUUGCCUAGGGCUCCUUUAUAUAAUUCUGGUUCCUUCUUAUCUGCAACCCAGGACUUCCCGUUAUCGCCUCCUCUGUCAAGUCUUUCAAUUUUCGUUUUGCAGAUCUGUAGUCCUUCGGUUGUCUUUAUCAGUUUCUGCUUACAUGAUCGAAUAGAUCGCAUAACGAUCUAUGUUUUGAUGGGUGAUUCUUGGUGUUUCUUUCUUCUUUGAUAUCGGGUAGUACCGGCGCCAAGAUUUGAAUCCUCUUGUAUUAACCGGCAUGUGCUCUUUAUCUUUCUGGUUUAAAUCGGCAAUCUUCUUGUCUUUCUCGUUUAAUCUUUUGUUUUAUUUAUCGUUGAUUGAAUUAAAACCGAUUUUUGCGGGGAUUGCGUUCCUUGUGCGGGUGCAUGGCUUGUUCUAGGGUUCAUAUCACUACCACGACCUGCUUUAUUUCGGGUUGGUUUCGUUGGACGCCGAUGUGUCGGUAUGAAAAGGUCAACUGUUGCAGAGGAUCUGAUCGGAGCUAGAUCUCAUCGCUGAUAAAGGCCUUGAUGUAAUCUAGAGAUGUGAGGUUCUGAUCUUUGUUUCUGAUGUUCUUGGUCAUCAGACCUUUGCCAUGACAGGUGCGCUUGCAUGGCAGGUCGCUAACAAUAAUAAAAAAUGAACUAUUUUUUGUUUGAGGGGGGAUCGCACGGGGGUUUGCCCGGGUUCUCCCCUCUGGUGUGCUGCGUGUCCUUCCCUUUCUCUCUCUCUCUCUCUCUCCCCCUCUCUCCCUACUCGUCCGUGCCCAUUCGAAAGGAAAUUCGAAUCAUCCAUCCCUGAAGAUCGUCAAAGUUUGCUUCGGGGAUUUUAUCUGCGUUACGGUUUCCGAAUCACCCUUUCCAAGGUAAACAUUCUAAGAGGGUUUCAAUUCAUGUAAUAAGCAAAUUUUCUUAGUAGUUAAAUUUUAUUUAUCAUUUGAAUUCAUGAUAUUGCGUCGACACUGAGGUUCUUCGUUUUACGGGAUCUUUUUCUAUUUGAAACCUGAAACAUGGGCAUUGUGCCAUUUUGCGAUUCCAUUGUUUUGUUUUUUAAUUCAUUUCAUAAGACCGUAAGUCAGUGCACCAGUAUAUUUAAAUGUUACAGUAUUGGCUCACAGGAGGAUGCGGUUCUUUCUUUGUACUUGUUAAAUCUAUGGACAUUUCCAUUGAUUUGAUACCUUGUACAGCAUUUUGUAAAGCUUUCCUGUAUCUCCAACCACUUUGUUUGCAGAUUCAUGUUAUGAGUUGAGGUUUGACAUGGAUCUGUUUUCAUUCCUGAAAUUUCUUCUGUUGUAGUACUUUAUUCUUUAUGUUACUUCCAUUAUACUGUUUUAUAUCGAGAAAGUAGUCCCAAGGUAACUUAAACAUGGUUUGGUGAUGAAGAGAAGGAAAAUCCAAGGCGGGUUUCUGAUGGAGUUUGAUGGUGUUGCAGUCAAAGCUUUAAUAUGUGGUAACAGUUUCUGCCAUAAUGUUUAAUGUAGUAAUGCUCUUUGCUCUUUAUUGGUCAA